rnacentral:rRNA from 1 species
GUCUCUCUGUAUUGAGUACACUGAAUAUAGAGAGUCGGACCUGCCCGGUGACUAUAUUGUUAAACGGCCGCGGUACCCUAACCGUGCAAAGGUAGCAUAAUCAUUUGCCUUUUAAUUGGAGGCUGGUAUGAAUGGUUUGACGAGAGCUAAGCUGUCUCUUUUGAAAUAUAUAAAAAUUAACUUUUAGGUGAAGAGGCCUAAAUUUAUUUAAGGGACAAGAAGACCCUGUUGAGCUUUAGUGAAAUUAUAAAUAUUUAAUGUCUGGUGACUUUGGUGUAUACUAAUGUAUAACCGUAAUUUGUAAUUAAUCUUUAGUUGGGGCGACUGAGGAACAUAAAAAGCUUCCUUACAGUAAAUUGAUUAAUUCUAGUAAGGAUUAUCUUGAUGCUAUCAUGUUAUUUUGAUCCAAAUUGUUUUGAUUAAAGGAAAAAGUUACCACAGGGAUAACAGCGUAAUCUUUCUGGAGAGAUCUUAUCGAAAGAAGGGUUUGCGACCUCGAUGUUGGACUAAGAUAUCCUAAGGGUGUAGAAGU